CAGUUAUCGUUUAUUUGAUAGUACCUCACUACAUGGAUAACCGUGGUAAUUCUAGAGCUAAUACAUGCUAAAAACCUCAACUUCGGAAGGGGUGUAUUUAUUAGAUAAAAAACCAAUGCCCUUCGGGGCUCCUUGGUGAUUCAUAAUAACUUAACGAAUCGCAUGGCCUUGCGCCGGCGAUGGUUCAUUCAAAUUUCUGCCCUAUCAACUUUCGAUUGUAUGGUUUUGGCAUACAAUGGUGGCAACGGGUAACGGGGAAUUAGGUUAGUUUGUUACUUUACCCACUAAAUAGAUUUGCCUCGUCGCUAAUAUUUGUCUACAGGGUUCGAUUCCGGAGAGGGAGCCUGAGAAACGGCUACCACAUCCAAGGAAGGCAGCAGGCGCGCAAAUUACCCAAUCCCGACACGGGGAGGUAGUGACAAUACGUAUCGAUCGUGGGCUCUUUUGGGUCUACGAAUUGAAAUGAGUACAAUUUAAAUCCCUUAACGAGGAACAAUUGGAGGGCAAGUCUGGUGAAACAGCUGGCGCCAGACCCAGAAUAGGUGAGCAGCCCCUCGGGGCUGCUUGCAGGCAUCCGGUACGGGGAAAAGCUUCAGGGCUUUACCCCGUGGCGAGGGGAACCCCCCGCCGUAACGCAUGGAAAGAUGCCGGUGACCUUUAGGGGUCGCUUGAGGGACAUGCUAUGCGAAUCCGACGAGGAUUAUU
rnacentral:rRNA from 1 species